rnacentral:rRNA from 1 species
AACGGUAACAUUGGAGCUUGCUCCAGAUGACGAGUGGCGGACGGGUGAGUAACGCGUAGGAAUCUGCCUAGUAGUGGGGGACAACAUGUGGAAACGCAUGCUAAUACCGCAUACGCCCUACGGGGGAAAGCGGGGGAUCUUCGGACCUCGCGCUAUUAGAUGAGCCUGCGUUAGAUUAGCUUGUUGGUGGGGUAAUGGCCUACCAAGGCGACGAUCUAUAGCUGGUCUGAGAGGACGAUCAGCCACACUGGGACUGAGACACGGCCCAGACUCCUACGGGAGGCAGCAGUGGGGAAUAUUGGACAAUGGGCGCAAGCCUGAUCCAGCAAUACCACGUGUGUGAAGAAGGCCUGAGGGUUGUAAAGCACUUUCAAUUGGGAGGAAAACAGCUGGGUUAAUAGCCCUGCUCUUGACAUUACCUUUAGAAGAAGCACCGGCUAACUCCGUGCCAGCAGCCGCGGUAAUACGGAGGGUGCGAGCGUUAAUCGGAAUUACUGGGCGUAAAGCGUACGUAGGCGGUUAUUUAAGUCAGAUGUGAAAGCCCCGGGCUCAACCUG